ACUACUAAGGACAAUUGGACAGAGGGAGAAAGAAGGUUAUGAGACACAACAUCCCUCGACUCUAUAACUUUUACUAGCUCAAUUUCUUUUCUCCUACGACAUCAUGCUAUCUCUAUCUGUGGGUUACUGCUACGAGAACGUGUACACACAUACAGGCC